AUUGAACGCUGGCGGCAGGCCUAACACAUGCAAGUCGAGCGGAGCGGCGGACGGGUGAGUAAUGCCUAGGAAUCUGCCUGGGAGUGGGGGAUAACGUCCGGAAACGGGCGCUAAUACCGCAUACUAUCAGAUUAGGCUAUGUCGGAUUAGCUAGUGGGUGGGGUAAAGGCCUACCAAGGCGACGAUCCGUAGCUGGUCUGAGAGGAUGAGCAGUCACACUGGAACUGAGACACGGUCCAGACUCCUACGGGAGGCAGCAGUGGGGAAUAUUGCACAAUGGGCGCAAGCCUGAUGCAGCCAUGCCGCGUGUGUGAAGAAGGUCUUCGGGUUGUAAAGCACUUUAAGUUGGGAGGCGUUACCAGCAGAAUAAGCACCGGCUAACUCCGUGCCAGCAGCCGCGGUAAUUC
rnacentral:rRNA from 1 species